CCGAGUGAGGGUCCUCUCGGGCCCGACCUCCCAACCCUAUGUUUACUGAACCUCUGUUGCUUCGGCGGACCCGCCUCACGGCCGCCGGAGGACCGCCACAGGUCCUCUGGCCAGCGUCCGCCGACGGCCAACCUUUCAAAACUCUGUAUGAAUCGUGUCAUGAUGUCUAAGUACAAUUAUUAAAUUAAAAGCA
rnacentral:misc_RNA from 1 species